GACGUAGGUGGCGAACGUUAUCCGGAAUUAUUGGGCGUAAAGGGUGCGUAGGCGGCAUAAUAAGUUAUUGGCGGGAAAUCGAGGCUCAACCUCGUGGAAACUGAUAAUACUGUUUUUGCUUGAGUACAGGAGAGGUUAACGGAACUCCAUGUGGAGCGGUAAAAAUGUGUAGAUAUAUGGAAGAACAUCAAUAACGGCGAGGGCAGUUAACUAUUCUGUUACUGACGUUGAGGCACGAAAGCGUGGGGAGCAAAAAGG
rnacentral:rRNA from 1 species